rnacentral:lncRNA from 1 species
AAAUUGUCCCCAAAUGAGCAAAGUGAUCACUAUGUUUCUCCCUGUCUCCCUAGGCCCCAAACACACUAAGGAGCCUUUCACGUAAAUGCCAAGCUAAAGUGCCACUCCAGGGCGUGGUGGGUACUGCCACUGAAGUGUUUGUACAUCGAAUAACAAGAAGAUUCCACCAAAAGUCUGUAAAAAGGGGUGAGAAAACUGAUGUGGCUGUGACCCUAGCUUUGGCCUUGAAGUGAUUAUGAAAUGGAGGAAGAAAUUUGACUCUCCAAAUGACCAACAGGAGCUCAACAGGCAUCCUCCCCACUCAAGAAAAGUUUUCCCAAUUUGUGUCUUAUUGGACCUCUGCUACCAGGAAGCUGGUCUCUAAUUUGCUAUUCUUGCCAAGCCUCUUGGGGACUGAAGAACAUUUGUUACGUUUUGCUGCCUUUGCAAAGUAUGUUUUCAACCCUCGCUACAAGUUAGUGUUUUCUGAGUAGUUUUUAAGAAAGGGUAGUGAACAGAUAUUGAAUGGUAUUGAAGUCUGUUAUCUGUCCCUGGAUAUUCUGAUUUAAUUGAUUUUGGCUAAUUUGGUAAACCCUUUUGGAAGCUGGUGGAGUAGAAUUAUGUAAUAAAUAAGUUAUAUUAAGUCA